UACAGAGGUGGCAAGCGUUGUUCGGAAUUACUGGGCGUAAAGGGCGCGUAGGCGGCCUACUGAGUCAGGCGUGAAAGCCCCGGGCUUAACCUGGGAAUUGCGUCUGGGACUGGUACGCUAGAGUUCGGGAGAGGAGAGUGGAAUUCCCAGUGUAGAGGUGGAAUUCGUAGAUAUUAGGAAGAACACCAGUGGCGAAGGCGGCUCACUGGUCCGGUACUGACGCUGAGGUGCGAAAGCGUGGGGAGCAAACAGG
rnacentral:rRNA from 1 species